rnacentral:lncRNA from 1 species
CAACGUGUAUGUACAUUUCUCCAAGUCCCUUAGGGAUCAAAACAACAUUGAGAGCGCACUCUCGAAGAAACUAGUGAAACUAUGAGCGCGAAUGCCCGGCGCUGCUCUUGGGCCGUCCACCUCCCAAGUGACUCCACUGCGGAGCUUGAAGCCACCUGCUUCGCCUCGCCACUCCUCCACUCGGUCACAAUGAUGUCAAGCCGGACGAACACCAUGUCGAUCUAGCUCGACGUCGUCGCAGCCAAGCAGUCCAACUCGAGCACGAUGACCCGGCAUCGCUCAUGGGUCACUCGCCUCCA